rnacentral:lncRNA from 1 species
GCAGCCAUCCGAACUUGAGCUUGCUGUCAGAGUUUUGAAAGGAGAUCUAAGUCAGCUCUCUGACAUUUAGAAUUGCUCGGCUCACUGUAUUGUUCCACGUUUGUUGAUGGCAGUUCGAUCUCGAGCGGGAUCAUUGCUUCUGUUUCAUAAGCCAAAUUAAAGGAAGAUUCUCCAAUUGAUAUGCACGAAGUUGUUCGGUACGCCCAUA